AGGUAUGGUUUGGAGAAGCCUCUUGUGGAUGUCUCACUUUGAAGCUAGCAGUUCAGUCAUAGCAUUAGCAGCCAUGACUUGAGAUUACACAAAACAAAACAUCACAUAAUAGGUUCUACACUUUAUUGUUGUAUUAAAUUACCUUUGCAUUAACAUCACAAAACAUAAUUGGCAAAGUAUAUCAUUUUGGUUUUAGAGCUUCUUUGGGCUUCCUAAUGCUAGAUUCACAAUUGCAUUAUUAGCUAAAAAGUCUUGGUGAUUGUGUAUGUUUGUUUUUGGGGUCAUACAUCUUGGCUUUGUUAUGCUUUUUGCAUGUUGCCCAUGCUCCUAGUCUUGGAAAUUUUGCUUAGGGUUUUAUAUAAGGUACGCUGUCUCGGUACCGGGUUCCAUACCACUGCCAACCUAUCACUGUGUUGAUACGGUAUGAUAUAAGGCUGGUUCGGCGUAUCAAGUACUGAACUGGUAUGAUAUGGCACAUCCCGUACCGCUCGAUUCGGUACGGUAUAGCAAACCUUGGUUCUAUAUCUUGGCUCAGUUGCUGAUAAAGCAUUGAUCAAUUUGGUGACGAUUUGAUUCUUUUAUUAGUUGUUGUGAAGUUGUGAUAGGUACAUGCAAGUAAUUUUGAUAUUGCAUGGCAUGACAUGAUUCCCUUCUCUUAUGUCCUUUUUUUUUCUUAACCUGAUUCUUUUUCUCCUUGUUGGGUAUAUCUAUCUUUGUUAAGGGAGAGAGGUGCUAGAAAACUCUAAAUGAGGAUGCAUUAUAUAAGAGACUGGUAAUGCUAGAUUAUCAUUGAUGGAGGAGAAGGUAAUCAGUGGUGUUCUAUUUUUAUUUUCUAUUUUCAUAUGAAUUAGUUUCAGACUUGGUUAAAUUCUUUGGCUUGUGAAUGAUAUAAUUUUAGGUAUCAGAGUUCAAUUACAAGUCUUCUUAAGUAUAAAAUAGUGUACAACUAAAUCAAUAUUUUUAUAGCAGGAAUUUUCUGAAUUAAUAAAUCGCAUGCUAGUGUAAUAAAUGCAGAAUAAUACCAAAGCAUGUGAAGCAUAGCACUUGCCGUUUCAGCACUCAAAACACAGGAUUAUCCAGAUUAUAAACAGUAAGCUGAACCCACUAAUUUGGAAUGGAAGUUACCAUAUAAUUAAUUUUAGGUGCUUGAAGUUGCAAUUUAAUGAGGAGUCAUGCUAUGUGCCUUACUUUUUCUUUUCAGUAGGUAAUGGUGCAACUCAUGAAAGGUUGGCUUGGGACAUUAGCAGGGCCCAAUGUCCUAGGUAAUUCAUCAGCUAAUUCGAAUAGUGCUGCAAAUCAUUGCUUGUAAAAGGAACAUUUGAUGGAUGUUUGUGAACCAUCAAUCAGAAUUAUUUCCGUAAAUAUAGUAAAGUCACUCCUUUUGAUUUAUUUAUACUUAAAGAGGGAUAUAAUUUGUCAAAGGGGAGUAUGCAUACCCAGAAAGGAGCAUUCAUAUAAUGAUGAGUUGUGUCCACAUUACCAACAUUCAUUUUUCAGAUCCUUUUCAGCUGAGUCUCUAUACAUUGAGGUAUAGAGAUGGAUCCAACUCCUAGACAAACAACUGUACCCCAUCUCAUCCAACACAGAUGUUCACAAUUGUCAUAUGACUCAUAUUCCUUUUUCGCUUGAAAUUCUUUUUGCUUAUAGUCCUUUCUAGUAAUCCUUCUUAAGUUAGUGUAGAUAAAAAGCCCUGUUCCAUCCCAUCCGACCCUUUGUUCUUGUUGCAUUCCUCUUUAUCAUAUUAUCUUGGUGGAGCUUUUAAUCAUCUUCUAGAUCUUAAGCAGUUAGGGCAUGGUGCUAUGUUCUUAACAGGCUGGAGCCAGUGCCAUAUGUUUGGCCUUUUCACACUACUUGCACUUCCUUCUUGGGCUCCAUAUAUGCUUUUCUUCU
rnacentral:lncRNA from 1 species